GGCUCAGAUUGAACGCUGGCGGCAUGCCUUACACAUGCAAGUCGAACGGCAGCACGGGUGCUUGCACCUGGUGGCGAGUGGCGAACGGGUGAGUAAUAUAUCGGAACGUACCUUAUUGUGGGGGAUAACGCAGCGAAAGCUGUGCUAAUACCGCAUAAUCCCUUAGGGGGGAAGCGGGGGACCGUAAGGCCUCGCGCAAUUAGAGCGGCCGAUACCUGAUUAGCUAGUUGGUGAGGUAAAGGCUCACCAAGGCAACGAUCAGUAGCUGGUCUGAGAGGACGAUCAGCCACACUGGGACUGAGACACGGCCCAGACUCCUACGGGAGGCAGCAGUGGGGAAUUUUGGACAAUGGGGGCAACCCUGAUCCAGCAAUGCCGCGUGAGUGAAGAAGGCCUUCGGGUUGUAAAGCUCUUUUGUCAGGGAAGAAACGGCUUUUACUAACACAGUCUGCGAAUGACGGUACCUGAAGAAUAAGCACCGGCUAACUACGUG
rnacentral:rRNA from 1 species